rnacentral:lncRNA from 1 species
GCCAGAAGCACAGGAGGUUGGAAAACGGACAUUUUCCUUCUGUUCUUAAACCAGUCAGUGAACAGCUGGGUACCGAGAAAAUGAGCAGUUCCAAACAGAGGCUGCUGCUUUACCUUGGGUCUCUGGAAUGAAAAUGAUGUGGAGCACAGCUGGAGCUGAUCUACAAUGGACAUGUGGCAUGAAUGAGAAGGAGCCAGGUUAGAAGGCUCUGUCUCUUCAGACCUUUGCAGAAGGGGCCUCCCCUCAUCCUGGAGGCAGUGAUAUCCCAGCAGAGCAGAGGGGUGGGACUCAGAAGACCUCUGUGACCUUGACUAAGUUCUUCUACCUCUCUCGGCACAAGUUUCCUUAUAAUUUGAGUUUCUCAAACUUCAAUCAUACUGCCAUGUGAUGGUUUUCUUCUAUUUGCCAGAAGAUGUCAUUUUGGGAUGAGGCCAUUCAAACUUGCUCAAAUCUGAACGAUAACUCAACUAAAAUGAGGUCAAUGUAAAUGACUAUCCACAACGGAGGAAAAACCUGUUAAAUUAAAUCCAGAGUGCACCUGUCACCUAUCACCCUCCAUAGCUCUUUGUGACUUCCUAGAGGCUGUCUUCAUGGUCUCUUUUGACCAUGAGCUCCUGUUGCAGCUGGGUCCUC